ensembl:lncRNA
CACUUUGUACCAGAACACAAGUAUGAGCUGCAAGAUGCUACUCAACAACAUCAGGAAGUUUAUGGCCCGCAAAUGGUGUCUGAGCCAAAGCAAAUGUCCACCCCAGUGAUGGAGCCCCUUCCUGCAAUUGCUCAAGCCUCUCCUUCCAACCAGCAGGCUCAAAUGGGUGACUAUAGAACCCAGGCCAACCUAAGCUACUUUCCGUUUGAUGAUGACAUGACUCAGGAUAGCAUUGUUGAGGAACUUGUACAAAUGGAAGAGCAGAUGAAAAUUAACAAUAGCAUACAAAAUUUCAGCAACUGUGUGGAUAAUGCACUGCAAGGCCAGCAACAAACCAUGCAGACUACCAUGAUGUCUACCCUCCAGACCAACACCCUGUAUUACAGCUCUGCUCAUAGCAGCAGCACCCCAAUCCAAACACCCACUCCUACACCUACUCCCACUUCUGAGAUGAUAGGAAGUGGUCAGGGUAUGAUGCACGAAAGCCCCUGUUCGCGCUUAGCCCCAACCACUCCGGUCGACAGCGCUCUUGGAAGUAGUCGACAAACACCUAUUGGCACGCCCCACUCCAACUGCAGCAGUAGUAUCCCACCAAGCCCUGUGGAAUGCAGGAACCCUUUUGCCUUUACUCCUAUUAACUCCAGUAUCACUGGAUACCAUGAUGGAAGUACCGUCUCCUCAAGCCCUGUCAAGCCCAUGCAAAGACCAAUGGCCACACAUCCAGAUAAGACUAAACUGGAAUGGAUGAACAGUGGGUACAGUAACAGUGGUGGGAACACCAACAAUGGCAUUAGCAUUCUGCCCAGCUACCGAGACCUAGUAGAUGACCACUUUCGAAAGCCUCACGCCUUUGCCAUCCCGGGCCAGACCUGUCAGUCGCAACCCAGAUAUCAUGAAACUCAUAUCAGCCGCUUGACACCCAUUUCGCCUGUCCAACAGCAAGUGGCAAGCAUGGCUAGCCUCAACAAGAAAGAGGGUUUUGCUGUUCCAGCACCCCUUGACAACAAGGCCAGCUCAGGGUCCGGAACAUUUCGAUGCCGCAGCGUUAGCCCAGCAGUCAGGCAGCGCAACUUGAGCGGGACCCAAAAUCCCAAUGUUCCCCACUCUGUGGUCUCUCCUUUCAACUCACCUGUAACACCUGAAGUGCUAAACAUCUUUUCUAACAGUGACCCUGAUGCAAGCAUCAGCAGCAUGGCACAGAGGAGUCAGUCUGUUCCAGUCACAGUGAUGAUGCAGUCUGAGGUUCUACCCAUGCAAGCAGGCCAGCAGAUGAAUACCAAAAACAUCACCAAUGUCCUCAUCAACAAAAUGGAUGGCGAAGGAGAUGACUCUGUGCGUGGCAUCGGAAUCAACAACAUGCCGUCCAACUACACUGCCCGCAUGAAUCUCACCCAGAUUCUAGAGACCACCACAGUGCCCAGCUUUCCUGGUAGUGCCAGCCACCAAGCUCUGAUCUCGCCUUGUUCAUCAGCCUUUGAGUCCCAGAAGCCUGCUUACCUCAUGAAAAAUGCCAGAGAGGAGCCAAUGAGCUUCUCUGUAGACGAAAGCCAAGCACAAUCAUUCCUUGGGCAGGAACAACAGAACAGAACUGUUAAAGAUCUUUUACAUGAGGAAAGCUUGAAUUCUGGCUCACAGCUUGUGGGUCAAGGAUCAGAGCUCCGUGCUGGGAUAAUAACUUAUUGCACACAAAUGUGCCACUAUGUUCAAAUUUGUAACGUGAGCCAGUAA